rnacentral:rRNA from 1 species
GCGUGCCUAAUACAUGCAAGUCGAGCGAACAGACGAGGAGCUUGCUCCUCUGACGUUAGCGGCGGACGGGUGAGUAACACGUGGAUAACCUACCUAUAAGACUGGGAUAACUUCGGGAAACCGGAGCUAAUACCGGAUAAUAUAUUGAACCGCAUGGUUCAAUAGUGAAAGACGGUUUUGCUGUCACUUAUAGAUGGAUCCGCCCCGCAUUAGCUAGUUGGUAAGGUAACGGCUUACCAAGGCAACGGUGCGUAGCCGACCUGAGAGGGUGAUCGGCCACACUGGAACUGAGACACGGUCCAGACUCCUACGGGAGGCAGCAGUAGGGAAUCUUCCGCAAUGGGCGAAAGCCUGACGGAGCAACGCCGCGUGAGUGAUGAAGGUCUUCGGAUCGUAAAACUCUGUUAUUAGGGAAGAACAAAUGUGUAAGUAACUAUGCACGUCUUGACGGUACCUAAUCAGAAAGCCACGGCUAACUACGUGCCAGCAGCCGCGGUAAUACGUAGGUGGCAAGCGUUAUCCGGAAUUAUUGGGCGUAAAGCGCGCGUAGGCGGUUUUUUAAGUCUGAUGUGAAAGCCCACGGCUCAACCGUGGAGGGUCAUUGGAAACUGGAAAACUUGAGUGCAGAAGAGGAAAGUGGAAUUCCAUGUGUAGCGGUGAAAUGCGCAGAGAUAUGGAGGAACACCAGUGGCGAAGGCGACUUUCUGGUCUGUACUGACGCUGAUGUGCGAAA